AUUGAACGCUGGCGGAAUGCUUUACACAUGCAAGUCGAACGGUAGAGGGGGCAACCCCUCGAGAGUGGCGAACGGGUGAGUAAUAUAUCGGAACGUGCCCAGUCGUGGGGGAUAACGUAGCGAAAGUUACGCUAAUACCGCAUACGAUCUAAGGAUGAAAGCGGGGGAUCGCAAGACCUCGCGCGAUUGGAGCGGCCGAUAUCAGAUUAGGUAGUUGGUGGGGUAAAGGCUCACCAAGCCAACGAUCUGUAGCUGGUCUGAGAGGACGACCAGCCACACUGGAACUGAGACACGGUCCAGACGCCUACGGGAGGCAGCAGUGGGGAAUUUUGGACAAUGGGCGCAAGCCUGAUCCAGCCAUUCCGCGUGCAGGAUGAAGGCCUUCGGGUUGUAAACUGCUUUUGUACGGAACGAAAAGGCUCUGGUUAAUACCCGGGGCUCAUGACGGUACCGUAAGAAUAAGCACCGGCUAACUACGUGCCAGCCGCCGCCGUAA
rnacentral:rRNA from 1 species